rnacentral:lncRNA from 1 species
AAAAUAAUAAAAACGUUUUAUAACUUAAGCAUGCAUAAGAACUGCAUAAUAACAUAGAGCUGCAUUUUGAACAUGACCAUUCUGCACAUUCGUCUUCCAAAACAUAAUCAGGAUAAGUUUACAAGCGCGAUGAUACCAAUUUUCACAUAUAUUGUUAUAGAAUUGAACUUUCCGGCCUACUAAACGGUGGUUUUUCGUGUGAUGCUUCAUAAUCAUCAGUAUCUAAGUUUAAGAAUGGUGAAUUUAGAUAUAAUGAUGACAAAGCACUCCAUGACCAAGCAGGGUACUUUCUAAAUACUAAAAAAAAAUGUUUGCAUGAAUAUGCAUUUAAUAUCCAAUUUAAACAAGUACAUUUUGGCAUUGUAAUCUCAUCACUAAAUAAUACAAAAUAUUUAGAAGCUGUCUUGGUAGAACUUAAUACAGCAAAAAAUCCAUGUUUAAUCAUGAUUAGUCUGGACAAAUCAAGAUUCUCAACGUUACUUUUUUUUGUUAGGCAAUGUUUAACAAAGCUAUGAGGACGGUUGUAAAGAUAACUUGGCACCCAAAGUGCAUACCUUCUGUAACGUGCAUCCAUUUUAAAGUUGGAAUUAAUAUAGCUAAACGAAAUAAUAUUCAUAGUAAAAAAGUUUCUUUAAUAAAGUAUAAAGAAAAACCCAGUAUUGUGUAAAUGUACAAAUGCUAAAGUGAUUUGGUAUGUAGUACCAUAGACACGAUAUCUUUAAAAUGCAAAAUGUAAUGAUAAGGAAAAAAAUUUUAUAUUAGUUACGUGAACAAUGUAUACUAUGAAUUAUUAUUAAAUAUAUAAACCUGCUAAUCACAUAC